rnacentral:rRNA from 1 species
GGGUCAGUAGGUUGGUCGUGCCACCGGUACGUACUGGUCUCACUGAUUCCUCCUUCCUGAACAACCGUAAUGCCAUUAAUUUGGUGUUGCGGGGAAACAGGACUGUUACUUUGAAAAAAUUAGAGUGUAUAAAGCAAGCUAACGCUUGAAUACAUUAUCAUGGAAUAAUGAAAUAGGACGAUCGAUCCUAUUUUGUUGGUUUCUAGGAUUGACGUA